GGACAGGUGGCGGAGCGGCUGAACGCGCCGGAUUCGAAAUCCGGUUCACGGGUUUCUCGUGACGAGGGUUCGAAUCCCUCUCUGUCCG
rnacentral:tRNA from 1 species